rnacentral:rRNA from 1 species
CUGGUGCCAGCAGCCGCGGUAAUUCCAGCUCCAAUAGCGUAUAUUAAAGUUGUUGCAGUUAAAAGCUCGUAGUUGAAUUUCGGGGUUAGUAGGUUGGUCAUGCCUCUGGUAUGUACUGGUCUCACUGAUUCCUCCUUCCUGAUGAGCCGUAAUGCCAUUAAUUUGGUGUUGCGGGGAAUUUGGACUGUUACUUUGAAAAAUUAGAGUGUUUAAAGCAAGCUAACGUUUGAAUACAUUAGCAUGGAAUAAUGAAAUAGGACGUUCGAUCCUAUUUUGUUAGGUUUCUAGGAUUGACGUAAUGAUUAAUAGGGAUAGUUGGGGGCAUUAGUAUUCAAUUGUCAGAGGUGAAAUUCUUGGAUUUAUUGAAGACUAACUACUGCGAAAGCAUUUGCCAAGGAUGUUUUCAUUAAUCAAGAACGAAAGUUAGGGGGAUCGAAGACGAUCAGAUACCGUCGUAGUCUUAACCAUAAACUAUGCCGACUAGGGAUCGGAUGAUGUUAAUUUUAUAAUGACUCAUUCGGCGCCUUACG